AGAGUUUUCGGUCCACCGAUAAAAUGUGUCUCCUUUGUCUCUACUAGAGGAGAAAAAGAACUGGAAUUGGAAGGACAGGGGGAUUGAAGCGUAGUGAGAGAGGCUGGAGAAGAGAGUGAAAAGACCGCUUACCCAAUUUGAAAUUGGUGAGAUGUUCCUUGGGCUGGUUGGUCUGAGGACCUGAGGUCAUAGGUGGAUCUCUUCACGGAGUGAAGAACAGGUGGAGAGGUAUGAAGAACGAGGAACACUGCCCGGGGAGUUUCUUCCUCUGCAAAAUAAGGGAGUGUGUACUGAAUUACCGUUUCCAGCUCCAACAUCCAGGAUUUCAGCACUACCUGCAGAGUAGUGGGAGGAGAGAUAGAGGAAGAAGUGAAGAUAAGAAACCACUCGAAGCCGGUGUCUGGUGCUGGGACCGUGGUGGCUGGGACGGCAGCAGUCGUGCUGUCCAUCUGCUCUUCCGAGGGGUGGCACAUCCUAGCCUCUAUCUUUUCCCCAGAGAAGAUCCCCCUCGUCUGCUCUUCCCCCGUCUCAGCCUUUUAGUGUGUGAACAGUUCUGGUGUUACUCAGCAACGCUUUUGUUAGCGCCUUUACCAGCAAGUACUUGUUAAACACUUAAAUCUUACAAGUGGAAAGAAAAUUCCGUGGUAAAUUUAAGUACAAAAGUCAACCAAAAUUCUGAGUCUCGGACAAGACUGGUUAAAAAUCGUUCUACAAUGAAACUAAUAAAUUAAAUCAUAUAAAACUUUUA
rnacentral:lncRNA from 1 species